GAUGAAGAACGUAGUGAAAUGCGAUAAGUAAUGUGAAUUGCAGAAUUCAGUGAAUCAUCGAAUCUUUGAACGCACAUUGCGCCCCUUGGUAUUCCAUGGGGCAUGCCUGUUCGAGCGUCAUUUGUACCCUCAAGCUUUGCUUGGUGUUGGGCGUCUUGUCGUAUUACGACUCGCCUUAAAUACAUUGGCAGCCGGCACUUUGGCCUAGGAGCGCAGCACAUUUUGCGAUCGUAGCCCGUUGUACUGGCGUCCAUCAAGAACAUUUACCACGUUUGACCUCGGAUCAGGUAGGGAUACCCGCUGAACUUAAGCAUAUCAAUAAGCGGAGGA
rnacentral:misc_RNA from 1 species